GCGCGCUGCGUCGCCAACUCAGCGGCGGGCAGGGGGCGGAGUCGCAGGGUGGGGCGGUGCGCGUUGAUGUGACGUCCCUGCGCGCGCCGCUUUCUGUUGCCGGGCGCAAUGGCGGAUACGCUGGAGUCCUCGCUGGAGGACCCACUGCGGAGCUUUGUGCGAGUUUUGGAGAAGCGGGAUGGUACAGUGCUACGACUACAGCAGUAUAGCUCCGGUGGCGUGGGUUGCGUUGUGUGGGACGCUGCCAUUGUCCUUUCUAAAUACCUGGAAACGCCCGAGUUUUCUGGCGACGGGGCCCACGCGCUGAGCCGGCGGUCGGUGCUGGAGCUGGGUUCGGGCACCGGGGCCGUGGGGCUCAUGGCUGCUACCCUCGGGGCUGAUGUUGUAGUCACCGAUCUUGAGGAAUUGCAAGACUUGCUGAAGAUGAAUAUUAAUAUGAACAAGCAUCUUGUCACUGGUUCUGUUCAAGCCAAGGUACUGAAAUGGGGGGAAGAAAUAGAAGGCUUUCCUUCUCCACCCGACUACAUACUGAUGGCCGACUGCAUAUACUAUGAAGAGUCUUUGGAGCCAUUGCUGAAAACUCUAAAAGAUAUCAGUGGAUUUGAAACUUGUAUUAUAUGUUGUUAUGAACAACGAACAAUGGGGAAAAAUCCAGAAAUUGAGAAAAAAUAUUUUGAGUGAUAACCCAAACCCUUUUUAUGGGCACAAAUCUAUCACAUUGUGAGUGACUCCUUUGGAGGGUACAUCUAUAUAGGCCUGCAGUUUUGUCUGCUGAAAGGACUACUUUGGUUUAAUGAGAAAGCAGGUAUAUGACUGCCUCAGCUCCUUCAGCUAGAUUUUGACUUUGAAAAAAUUCCUUUGGAAAAACAUGAUGAAGAGUAUCGAAGUGAAGAUAUUCAUAUUAUAUACAUCAGAAAGAAAAAAUCGAAAUUUCCAUCGUGAAGCCUUUAAUCAUCUUACCCAAGGCUCUAACAACCUGGGUAAACUAAAGAUGUGAAUAGAGCAUGUGAAUACAGCAUGGGAAGAUUGUGUUCACAGAUUUUUUUUCCGGCACGUCCUUAGAGAUCCGAUGUAUAGAUGAUGACCACCAGGGGCUGUCUGCAAUAUGAAAAAUUCCUGCUUGCCUGCCUGCCUGCCAAUGGCCCUGAAUCCAGCUUAGGUUACUUAGUUCAGCAUCAAGUUCUUCUUAAAUGUUGGGAAUCAGUUAUUCAAAUAAAAAUUGGUAUUGAGGCGAGGCUGAAAUCUGCCAAAAACAGUGAGCCAACAUGAUUGACUGGACCUUUUACAGGAAGCUAGAGAUAAAUUUCUGAAGAGAACUAUCUGCUAUUAUAUAAUAAUGUUUUAAAUUCAAACUAGUAAAUUUUAGUUUGUCUUCAAAGUUUAAAAGGUUUUCAUUUUGUACAUAAUUAUACAAUAUUUAUCAUUUGUAUUUUCCACUUCAUUUCUUUUAAAAUAUCUUUAAUACUGAAAUGUUCUUUUAAUUUUAAAAAGAACUGAGAUAUUGUCUUGUAUACUUAUAUUGGCCAAAGUUUUCUUUUCCUCCACCAUACAUAUCUAUGUGAUUUAAUCAGUAAAUUGUACUGUAAUGAGUUGCUAAGAAGACAAAUCAGAAGAUUGGAGGAACAAAAGAUAUCUUUACAGAUUUUUCAUUUGAGCAUGGAGUGAGAAUAGAAAGACCAGUUUCAGGCUUAUGCACUUACAAUGUGGCUCAUGCACUUUAUGUAUAUGUUCCAGGAAAAUCUGGCUUAAAAAUACUGGUAUUGUUUACAUGAAGCAGUGAAAGGUUUUUGAAUAACUACAAAUGUAGUUCUAUAUGUAUAUACCAAAUGAAUUUUUGUUCUGUGUCUCUCUGUUUUAUGUUAUGAAGCCAUUCGCUCAUAUACAAUAAUCUGUCAAGGACUUUAAUCAUACUUGUUCCAAAGAGUAGUAACCGGAUGGAAUUCUGGUAUUUACAGGCAUUGGUGCUAGAUGGUACAUUUUAUGUGUUAAAAUAAACAUUGUUUUUGAGA